AUGUACAUUCCUACAACAUAGCGUUACUGAAUCCCAUUAGAACUCCAUAGUUAAGCCCACUCGGGCUAGAGUAGUAUUGGGAUGAAUGACCAACCGAAAAGUCAUAGUAUUUUACAUG
rnacentral:rRNA from 1 species